rnacentral:rRNA from 1 species
GUUAUAUGGUCAAGCGAAUAAGCGCACACGGUGGAUGCCUUGGCGGUCAGAGGCGAUGAAGGACGUGGCAGCCUGCGAAAAGUAUCGGGGAGCUGGCAACAAGCUUUGAUCCGGUAAUGUCCGAAUGGGGAAACCCACCCGCUUGCGGGUAUCCUGCAGUGAAUACAUAGCUGCUGGAAGCGAACCUGGUGAACUGAAAUAUCUAAGUAACCAGAGGAAAAGAAAUCAACCGAGAUUCCGUAAGUAGCGACGAGCGAACGCGGACUAGCCCUUAAGCUGAUUUGGUUCUAGGAAAACGCUUUGGAAAGAGCGGCCAUAGAAGGUGAUAGCCCUGUAUCUGAAAGGGCCAUUUCAGUGAAGACGAGUAGGGCGGGGCACGUGAAACCCUGUCUGAACAUGGGGGGACCAUCCUCCAAGGCUAAAUACUACUGACCGACCGAUAGUGAACCAGUACCGUGAGGGAAAGGCGAAAAGAACCCCGGAGAGGGGAGUGAAAUAGAUCCUGAAACCGUGUGCGUACAAGCAGUAGGAGCUCCGCAAGGAGUGACUGCGUACCUUUUGUAUAAUGGGUCAGCGACUUACUGUUCGUGGCAAGCUUAACCGUAUAGGGGAGGCGAAGGGAAACCGAGUCUGAUAAGGGCGCAUAGUCGCGGGCAGUAGACCCGAAACCGGGUGAUCUAGUCAUGGCCAGGGUGAAGGUGCCGUAACAGGUACUGGAGGCCCGAACCCACGUCUGUUGCAAAAGACGGGGAUGAGCUGUGAUUAGGAGUGAAAAGCUAAUCGAACCCGGAGAUAGCUGGUUCUCCUCGAAAGCUAUUUAGGUAGCGCCUCAUAUGUAUCCUCUCGGGGGUAGAGCACUGUUAUGGCUAGGGGGUCAUCGCGACUUACCAAACCAUUGCAAACUCCGAAUACCGAGACGGACUGUAUGGGAGACACACGGCGGGUGCUAACGUCCGUCGUGAAAAGGGAAACAACCCAGACCCACAGCUAAGGUCCCAAAUUCACUGCUAAGUGGAAAACCAUGUGGAAAGGCACAGACAGCCAGGAGGUUGGCUUAGAAGCAGCCACCCUUUAAAGAAAGCGUAAUAGCUCACUGGUCGAGUCGGUCUGCGGGGAAGAUUUAACGGGGCUAAGCAGUGAACCGAAGCUUGGGGUGUACAUAUUUAUAUGUACGCGGUAGAGGAGCGUUCCGUAAGCCGUUGAAGGUGG